AGUGAACGCUGGCGGUAGGCCUAACACAUGCAAGUCGAGCGGCAGCACAGUAAGAGCUUGCUCUUACGGGUGGCGAGUGGCGGACGGGUGAGGAAUACAUCGGAAUCUACCUUUUCGUGGGGGAUAACGUAGGGAAACUUACGCUAAUACCGCAUACGACCUACGGGUGAAAGCAGGGGAUCUUCGGACCUUGCGCGAUUGAAUGAGCCGAUGUCGGAUUAGCUAGUUGGCGGGGUAAAGGCCCACCAAGGCGACGAUCCGUAGCUGGUCUGAGAGGAUGAUCAGCCACACUGGAACUGAGACACGGUCCAGACUCCUACGGGAGGCAGCAGUGGGGAAUAUUGGACAAUGGGCGCAAGCCUGAUCCAGCCAUACCGCGUGGGUGAAGAAGGCCUUCGGGUUGUAAAGCCCUUUUGUUGGGAAAGAAAAGCAGCAGGUUAAUACCCCGCUGUUCUGACGGUACCCAAAGAAUAAGCACCGGCUAACUUCGUG
rnacentral:rRNA from 1 species